CCUUAAAGAUUUAUUUUAUCGCCAACACUCCACAGGUAAGUCAUUUUUAAAUGAAUGAAGUGCAGGAUAAAUGACCAGGUAUCAUAUAAUACAGAUAAAUUACAACACUGAAAGAAAAUUGGAUUUAAAUACAAAUGUAUGUUAAAUACAGUAGCGACAUCUCUAAUAAUUACUGAUUUAAAACCAUUUAAAUCCAUGUUUUGAGACCAGUUUUCUGCACUUUUUUUUAUUCCCGGUUAUAUAACAGUAACAGGUGGGCAUGAAAGGGGAGCCCACAGGGACAGUAUGAUGGAUGGAUGGAGGCCACGCUGAUGCCAGCUUCUCUUUGAAAGGAAGAGGCAGCUGAAACAGACAUUCCCCUCCCUUUAAUUUGUGUGUGCUGAGGUUGCUACACUGCUUUGGCAGGGGUGGCACAACCAUCUGCAUGGUCAGGAUGGCGUUUAUGUGUGCGCCUGGGGGAAGACGGGCCUGGAUAGAUUGGUGAUUGAGUGUUCAAGGCUGCCUGCGGGUUGUGUUCUAGUACUGGAUUUGAACGGUGUGACAAGUGUGUGUAUCAAGGAGCCCCUCCAUCUCUGUCUCUUCCAAGACCUUUCAUGGUCCAUAGACUGGCUGGGCCACUCCAUCAGCCUUGCUUUGACUGUUUGUUUUGGGUCAUUAUCCUGUUGGAAGACCCAUCUCCUGGUGGAAAGAAAGAGGUUCUCACUGAAGAUUUGACAUGGUUCCCAUGGACAAGCAUGCCGCCCUUUCCUUCAAUAUCUGCCCCUACCAACUUCUCUGAUGGUUGUGAAACUCCUUGAAGCAGCACACUGGAGAAGCUAAAUGUGAUCUGCAUGGGACUGGUCAAAAUGACACUCAGGAGGAAAACGAGUCUGGCUUAAAGGCAAAGCAAUUGGUUAUUGUGUCUCCUAUGCAUCUAGAUUUGUUGUUUCUGUACAGGAGAUACUGCAUAGAAGAGAUUGAUUGACAAGAUCAACAGCCAAUCAGGACGCAGAACACAGUGCACUGUUUAAAAAUGAAAAAUAAAGUUGCACUGAAAAAAAAACCAUGAAUCAACGAAAUGUGAAAGGUGAUCCAUAAUAUAUUGGAUCACUGUACUGGUAAGAAUUUAUUACGUAUGAGUGAUGCUGUAUGUUCCUCCUACACCACACUCUGGUAAGUUAUUGUAAGUACUGGUCACUUACUGACCACUGCUUGAAUCCAUAAGUACCCAUGUAAUAAACACACAAACUACUGUAUUGCUGAAUUUUUUCAUUUAUAACAGUAAGGCUGCACACAGGGAAUAUGGAAGGGGAGCACACUUAUUCCAUGAACAUGAUAACGGGCGCAGGACUUUUAUCCAAAAACGAAAAAUACCCCACACUUACUUAGUUUUGCGUGUUGUAUAUGUGCUCACUUCCACCUGUCGCCCGCAGAAUGCUUGUAUAAAAAAACAUUGUGUGAAUAUUUUGCUCUCCGAGCAGUCCACAACUUUGACUUUUUCUGUGGGGCAUCUGUGUGCCCCUUACAGGUUUGGUCACUUUUCACUUUUCACAUAUUGCUGGAUAUGUGCUUUUCACUGAACAGCCCAUAUCCACCCCUAAGGGGAGUUGUGACUAUGGCUAAAGUUGUAAUACUGUAAUAAUUUGAGUUACCUGCCCUCAAACUUAGUUUAUUAUUUUUAAAUGACUUUGUCAAUGUUCUGAUUAUCUGCUAAAUAAGUUUUUUUUGCUCUCCUUUAGGAUAGGUUUGGCACUUAAGUGAUCCAACCAAGCCUUCACCUUAUCUCAGACCUAUGAAAAUUUACCAACUCUCCUGCUCCUUAUCCUGUGGUCCUCCUCAGAACUAUCUUAUUUAUUAGGAAAAACACGUUUCACUGUUUAUGCACAUUUUACAGGCUUUUGUUUAAAUCUUACUGUCAACAAAUCUUUCUACUUUUUUGCCGGCUCCCAUAGGGGUCGGCACAGUUAAUAAUCUGCCUCCAUCUAAAGCAGGAGAGGGCAAAUUUUUGACUCUUGGGCUACAAAGGGUUCUAGAACUUGAACAGAUAUGUGGCAUCUUCUGGUAAUCCGACUCAUAAGAGAAAGAAAUACCUUAAUAUCUGGGGAAUAAUAUGCUUGCAUUUU